UACGUAGGGUGCGAGCGUUAAUCGGAAUACUGGGCGUAAAGCGUGCGCAGGCGGUUGUGCAAGACAGAUGUGAAAUCCCCGGGCUCAACCUGGGAAUUGCAUUUGUGACUGCACGGCUAGAGUGUGUCAGAGGGGGGUAGAAUUCCACGUGUAGCAGUGAAAUGCGUAGAGAUGUGGAGGAACACCGAUGGCGAAGGCAGCCCCCCUGGGUCAAGAUUGACGCUCAUGCACGAAAGCGUGGGGAGCAAACAGG
rnacentral:rRNA from 1 species